rnacentral:rRNA from 1 species
UCCCAGACUCCUACGGGAGGCAGCAGUGAGGAAUAUUGGUCAAUGGGCGGGAGCCUGAACCAGCCAAGCCGCGUGAAGGAAGAAGGCUUUCGGGUUGUAAACUUCUUUUAAGAGGGAAGAGUAGAAGACGGUACCUCUUGAAUAAGCCACGGCUAACUACGUGCCAGCAGCCGCGGUAAUACGUAGGUGGCAAGCGUUGUCCGGAUUUACUGGGUGUAAAGGGCGUGUAGCCGGGCCGGCAAGUCAGAUGUGAAAUCCCGAGGCUCAACCUUGGAACUGCAUUUGAAACUGUUGGUCUUGAGUAUCGGAGAGGCAGGCGGAAUUCCUAGUGUAGCGGUGAAAUGCGUAGAUAUUAGGAGGAACACCAGUGGCGAAGGCGGCCUGCUGGACAGCAACUGACGCUGAGGCGCGAAAGCGUGGGGAGCAAACAGGAUUAGAUACCCCCGUA